CCUCAUUCAUAGAACCCUGUAUCCUCCAAUAGAAUCUAUCUACCUGACCACAUGGAUUAAUUCCAGGCUAGGCUUCACACCCAGCGUGGCGUGCAACAUGGGCUUGAACUCACGAAUCUGAAAUCAAGACCAGAGCUGAGAUCAAGAAUUGGACACUCAAUCAACUGAGCCACUCAGAUCCCUUUCUUCUUGGGCCGGAUUGGAAUGAAUGAUGGACGCUGGCGAGGCUUCAGCAGCAGCCGCAUCAGGUCCUUCCGAAAGAUAUUCCAGCUGUUCUCCUGGAGGAACUUCUGGCACAUAUCUUCAUCACUGAAGAAUGAAGUCUGACUCUGAGGAGAGGAGAAAUGACCUAUCCAAAGUCAUACAGAUCCCACAUCGAAUUCUUUCACAUGCUUAUUGGACAUGGCUGCAGUAACUCUACAGAUCUACUUGCUUUCACACCUCCUUUUUCCUUACCACUAGGAACCACCUGCUUCCACAACUGUCAGCAAAACCAUGUCUGACCGCAAGAAAAGAGAAAAGGGGGAGGAUGCGAAAUUGCAUAAUCGGUAUAAUCUCCAUUAUGAAACUUUGUGCACCUGAAUGAUAAAUGCAUAUUUGGCACAUAUCCAUGUAGCAAAAAAAAAAAAAAAAAAAAAAAGUACAUACAGUAAAAGGAAAUACACAAAAUGCUAACAUGGGGUUGU